rnacentral:rRNA from 1 species
UCAGGAUGAACGCUGGCGGCGUGCUUAACACAUGCAAGUCGAACGGAGUUUUAACGGAAGUUUCGGAUGGAAGUUAGAACUAGUGGCGGACGGGUGAGUAACGCGUGGGGUAACCUGCCUCAGUACAGGGGGAUAACAGUUAGAAAUGACUGCUAACACCGCAUAAUAUAGCGAAACCGCAUGAUUUUGCUAUCAAAUAUUUAUAGGUAUGAGAUGGGCCCGCGUCUGAUUAGCUAGUUGGUGGGGUAAAAGCCUACCAAGGCGACGAUCAGUAGCCGGCUUGAGAGAGUGACCGGCCACAUUGGGACUGAGACACGGCCCAAACUCCUACGGGAGGCAGCAGUGGGGAAUAUUGGACAAUGGGGGAAACCCUGAUCCAGCCGACGCCGCGUGAGUGAAGAAGUAUUUCGGUAUGUAAAGCUCUAUCAGCAGGGAAGAUAAUGACAGUACCUGACUAAGAAGCCCCGGCUAACUACGUGCCAGCCGCCGC